UACGCAGGGGGCGAGCGUUGUCCGGAUUUACUGGGCGUAAAGCGCGUGUAGGCGGUCCCUUAAGUCCGGGGUGAAAGGCGGAGGCUCAACCUCCGAGCUGCGCCGGAAACUGGGGGUCUUGAAUGUCGGAGAGGGGCGUGGAAUUCCUGGUGUAGCGGUGAAAUGCGUAGAGAUCAGGAGGAACACCGGUGGCGAAGGCGGCGCCCUGGCCGAACAUUGACGCUGAGAAGCGAAAGCGCGGGGAGCGAACGGG
rnacentral:rRNA from 1 species